CGGGAAAAAAGAAAGUGCGGUGUUUGCGCGCUGCGGGGGGACGGGCGUGGGUAGCAGCGCGGUGCUGCGCUCUGGGACCUUUGUUAGGGACAAACGGAGAGGAGGGGAACCCAUCGGCACCGACCGCUUCGGGAAGGGGAAAAAAAAACCAUCACUGCGCCCUUCGGUUUUCAAGUUUGGCGAACCAACAGCACCGCUGCCUGCAGAGGGGAACGGAGUUGGGCUUAAGGCAGCCAGCGGCUAAAGAAGAUCUGCAAAGAGUGGCAAAGAAGAUUUUCGAUUAAAAGCUGAGCCCCAUCUCCCCGGAUUACUUUAUAUCGAUUUUUAUAUAUACGGCUGCGAUUGAUGGGCUCUAAUUAAAAAUCCAAAGGUGGGGGGGUGGGGGGUGUGGGGGGGAGUUCUUUCUGGGUCUCAAUAAAAAGAGCUUUUCAUAUACGGGGAAUAAAGGUUGGAAAAGGUUACAAACGAAAGAGCAGUUUAAAGCUUCUCUGCGGUUUUCUUUUCUUCUUUCUUACAAAACCCUUUUUCUGGCUCUUUCUCUCCCUCGCCCACCCCCCCCCCCCUCCCCUCGACCCCUUCAUUUCUCCCAAGUUUGCCAACAUUCAAAGAUAUUGGACUGGAACCGUUAUUUUAAUAUCUGGGUUGGGAGCUGUAAUCUCACUGCUGUAGGACUCUGCUCGUCAGGGGAACUUCGUGGCCUGGAGAGGACUAUGAUGGAAACAGGCAGUGGGAGAGCCUGCCAGCAGCAUGCACAGACAGACACGUGGACAGACACACCAACACACGGACAUACAGACACACAGAUAGGUGGACACAGACACACGGACACAUAGACACAGUGCCACAUGGACUUGGACGUAUGGACAUACACGGACAUAGACAUGCAGACACAUGGAUACAUAGAUAUGUGGACACAUGGGGAUGGGGACAGAUGGACACACAGAUGAACACACAGACACACGGACACACAGACCCACUCCCCAUCCUCCCCAUUCGUGCUCUCCUCCUCCCCUAUCCCAAAUACUUAUUUUAAUUUCAUUUCUGCUGGUGAUUUAUUUCCCUUCCUAAGUUUUUCUUUUGGAGGGGAUUUUUCUUUCUGCAUUUUCUUUGCCUAUUUUUUUUGGGGGGGGGGAAGAGAUGUCCGACCCCUCCCCAUCCCCCCCAGCCCUCCCCAGGUGGGAGCCGACCUCCCUCUCUCUGCUCUCUGCUCUCGAGGUACCACACUUUAGGAGCUGCCCCUCUCCGGGAUAGGCUGUUCCCACACAGUUCGCCCUCAAUGUCUUCUCCACCCCUCCUUCCCCCCCCCAACCCUCUCAAAUUAUGAAACUUUCAUCCAGCGAUCAGCCCCGGCGGGCAAAGACACGCGGCGAUAACACCACUUCGGAACGGUCGCGUUAGGCAGAAGGGUCGGAAAUUACAGCGGGGGAAGGAGAGCAGAGAGGGGAAAGAGAGGGGAGAAAGAGCGCUACGAGAGAGCGAAGGGAUGGAGCCGAACCCGACUGGCAUCGGAAGUUGAGGAACUUACUGAGCAGCAGAAGUUACAGUUCCUUUCCAUCCCGGGAGCUGAUCUGGGGGUUCUCUGAGCACAAAAGUCGCUCCCCGUUGAGCCCGAGUUAGUGCGGCUCUGUAUACCUGCCCGGAGCUGCUAUCCGAACGGAGCGCAGGAGGUCGGAAAGGGGUUUGGUCGCAUUGGCUGUUUUGUUUGGUUGUUUUUGUUGGUUUUUUUUUCUUUUUCCCUUCCUUAAAAAAUAAUUAAAAAUAAAAUAGUAAUUAAAAAAAAAAAAACAGUUCCUACGGCUGCCACUUUUUUUUUUUUCUUUUUUUUUUUUUGCUUGUUUGGGGGCAACUUUUCCUGAGGCUGAAGGCGGAAUGCGGCUGCAAAGUGCGUGUAGGAUCGCUCCGGGAUGAAGGCUUCCCCCUAUUUUUCCCCCUCUCCGAUCCGAUCUUUGCGAGAGCCAUUCCGACACAUCGCUAAGCUAAAGGGAAAUUCUCUUUGAUAAAGCGGUGUUCCCAGCUUCUGGGUUUUAAAACCUAAAUCUAUAUUCAAAUCUGGCUGAAGGUGUGUUCUGGGAUUUAUGAAAGCCUCUUAAAGGGGUAAAUUUACCAAACCGUGACAAAAUCAUCACAAUCUUACUUUAGACAUCUGAAGUGGAUGGGAAUUUUAAAGAGACCCCUCGUUGCUUUCGGUCGCACCGUCCAUCCCCACCGCUCGCUCCAUUGGCCGCGGGGUCGGUCCCAACUUUGG
rnacentral:lncRNA from 1 species